rnacentral:rRNA from 1 species
GACGAACGCUGGCGGCGUGCUUAACACAUGCAAGUCGAACGGAAAGGCCCUGCUUUUGUGGGGUGCUCGAGUGGCGAACGGGUGAGUAACACGUGAGUAACCUGCCCUUGACUUUGGGAUAACUUCAGGAAACUGGGGCUAAUACCGGAUAGGAGCUCCUGCUGCAUGGUGGGGGUUGGAAAGUUUCGGCGGUUGGGGAUGGACUCGCGGCUUAUCAGCUUGUUGGUGGGGUAGUGGCUUACCAAGGCUUUGCCGGGUAGCCGGCCUGAGAGGGUGACCGGCCACAUUGCGACUGAGCUACGGCCCGGACUCCUACGGGAGGCAGCAGUGGGGAAUAUUGCACAAUGGGCGGAAGCCUGAUGCAGCAACGCCGCGUGCGGGAUGACGGCCUUCGGGUUGUAAACCGCUUUCGCCUGUGACGAAGCGUGAGUGACGGUAAUGGGUAAAGAAGCACCGGCUAACUACGUG